rnacentral:tRNA from 1 species
CAUCAUGAGAUGACUGAAAG